UUGACCCGGUCAGGUAGGAAUACCCGCUGAACUUAAGCAUAUCAAUAAGCGGAGGA
rnacentral:rRNA from 1 species